UCACAUGUAUAUAUAUACCUCAAAACACUAUUCAUCUAGCAGAUACAAACUGACGUUUUUCGCCGAAGCCCUUCUGAAUGUCCAAUUGCACUCAAAUUUGACAGUCUGGCUUGGUUUUACCUAACUAGAAGAAAAAAAUUUAAAUCUUUCCGUUACAACCUUGUUUGGUCACCGAAAGCUCUACCGAACUGUAAUCUCUACCAGAUAGUAGUCGGAUUUUAUUUUCCACCUUCCGGGUGUCGGAUCGACAUGAAACUUUAAAUCUAGCCUUAUAAAAAUAUUUCCGACAUAAAUCCAAGUUUUCAUAAUUUUCUGGCACUGUGCAUUUUCUGCUAAAAUAACAGUCUCAAUUCACACAUAAAAUUUAAAAUCGUCUGUUCUCUCUCCGAUUUCCGCACGAGUCGUUCCCAACUUAUAUUUUACUUCUAUAAGUCCAAUAAAAAUAGUAUCUCACACUAUUUUUAUUUAUUUUUAACCUUUUAUUAAAAUUUGGUAUACUACAGUUAAA
rnacentral:lncRNA from 1 species